rnacentral:lncRNA from 1 species
AAAUCUACUUAUCUAAAACAAGUUCUCAAAAAGAACGAUGGUGAUAGUGAUGAUGAAUAACCAUGAUUUUGAAUUAGGUUCUCGUUUUAUAUUUUUUUAAUUUUUGGGUUUUAUCCAUAUUUUGUUUAGGUUUAGGUUUUGAAUUUUUUUAUAUUUUAGUUUUAUUAUUUAAUAAAGUUUAAUCUCUUUUUAAUUUUUUUUUUAUUUUGAUUGACUCUGAAAUUUAAAUGUUAGUUUCUUUUUAGAUUUAUAAUUAGUAAAAAUAAAACUAUUUAAUGC